rnacentral:tRNA from 1 species
CCCUGGGUGGUGCAAAUGGUGAACACACUUGGCUGCUAACCAGAAGGUUGGCGGUUCAAGUCCACCCAGAGGCA